CCUCCAGUUCUUGCAUGCAUGUAGUUGUCAGUACUCAUGUGUGUAAUAUAUGGAGGAACAGUAACUGUCAGUGCAAUGUCUUCGGUACCAGUGAGCCCAAAUCUCCUGGUUCUAUCCUCAAUCACUGGCACAAGA